GGGACAGUGGCGGACGGGUGAGUAACGCGUGGGAACGUGCCCUUUGGUACGGAACAACUGAGGGAAACUUCAGCUAACACCGUAUGUGCCCUUCGGGGGAAAGAUUUAUCGCCAUUGGAGCGGCCCGCGUUAGAUUAGCUAGUUGGUGGGGUAAAGGCCUACCAAGGCAACGAUCUAUAGCUGGUCUGAGAGGAUGAUCAGCCACACUGGGACUGAGACACGGCCCAGACUCCUACGGGAGGCAGCAGUAGGGAAUCUUGCGCAAUGGGCGAAGGCCUGACGCAGCCAUGCCGCGUGAAUGAUGAAGGUCUUAGGAUUGUAAAAUUCUUUCACCGGGGACGAUAAUGACGGUACCCGGAGAAGAAGCCCCGGCUAACUUCGUGCCAGCAGCCGCGGUAAUACGAAGGGGGCUAGCGUUGCUCGGAAUUACUGGGCGUAAAGGGAGCGUAGGCGGAUAGUUUAGUCAGAGGUGAAAGCCCAGGGCUCAACCUUGGAAUUGCCUUUGAUACUGGCUAUCUUGAGUGUGGGAGAGGUAUGUGGAACUCCGAGUGUAGAGGUGAAAUUCGUAGAUAUUCGGAAGAACACCAGUGGCGAAGGCGACUACUGGCCCAUUACUGACGCUGAGGCUCGA
rnacentral:rRNA from 1 species